AACACCUGGGAGAGAAAAGGAAAAGACCCCAUGAGUGAAGGGUCAGCAUGCGGCCCUGGAGUUGCCGCAAGUUGGGAUACUGCCCUGCCCAGCUUUGGGGGCCACCACGAGGGAGUUAGAGGAGGUCCUUCCCACUGCCCACGCCUGCCCCGGCGCAGACACCUGAUGGCAACUAGCAUGCUGUAAACACAUUUUGAUCAGUCAAGAGGAAAGGAAAUGAGCCAGUGGCCCAAAAGUUAGAGACACCAUGACACGGAUUCCCACAAAAUCUUCACACUGGAUUACUCCGUUUUUGCCAACCUUUGUCUAAUGGGCUCUUUUUUCUUUUUUAAUUAAUUUUUGUAUUUGGCAGUUGGGUUAAAAGUCAACAGGAGUUGACUGGUGGUGGUGGUGGUGGUGGUUCGAUUCUGUGAGGUUGUGGAAAGCAGGUCCACAGAUAACGUCCACCAUCUGUGUGGCAUCUGCGUGGGUUGUCUCUGGGUAUUCUGGUUUUCUCCCGCGUCCCAAAGCUGUGCACUUGAGGUUCAUUGGUGUGUCUGCAGGGUCCCAGUCUGAGUGCAUGUGAAUGUGUGUGAGCGUGCCCUGCAAUGGCAUGGUGUCCUGUCCUGAGCUGGUUCCUGAUGCAUAGUUCUCCUGGCCCUGCAAUGGUUGAGCACAGACCCUGCUAAGCAGCCGUGCUGGGGAGUGGACUUCAACCUCAUGUGGCUCCAGCCAGCCUGGAACAAACGCCCCCAAUGUGUAGAAGCCAGCCACCUGGCCGACAGUCACCCUCUAGGAGCUAAGAAGAGUUUGCAUACCUGACAGCAGGUCAGCCUGGAAGCACCAUGAACUCUGUGCCAACACCGUGCCAGCACUGUGCAGACAGGGCACAGCACCGAGCUCAGCGCCCCGCAAGCAAGGUCCUGUUAAUUUCCAGGCCAGCUCUUCCCCCACCGGCCCCGCAAGCCUUCAGGGUGCCUCCCGCUCCGUGGCCCACCCCGCUGCCUGCCUCCUUCUACUGAUCUGUCAGCUCCGAUCUGACUCAAGGACCAAGGCUUAGUCGUCCUUCUACCUGCUCGGGUUCUUGCACAAGAAUAAACAAAUCGAUAAAAACCCUGGAUUGAGAGAUAAAGUUAAAAAAGACCUCAGAGUGGCCUGGUGCUGCGGCUUGCUCUUCACAGCCGGCCUCUCACUGGAGGAGGGAUCAGGGCGGGUCUCUGCUCCGCACUGCGCUGGUAAGAGCCUGGGAAGAGAUGCUGUCUGUGGUGAGCACGUGAUAGACAUUCCACGACCCGACCUGUCGGUGCCCUGGUUCUCAUUGUUUCUUCUCAUUUCCAGCUGCAUUUAUCUCUUGUCUAACUUGGGCAGUGUUAAGGGCACAACUGUGUUUAGCCCAUUAGCCAAUUUGUUUUCAGAUAAUAAUGCAAAUGGCUGUUACUCCCAACACACCUAACAAGACUGACAGCCAAUCUCAACUGCUUCUGUGUUUUCCUAUGGAUAUUUCUUCUAAAGAACUCCUAACUAUCUCUCUCCCUGAUGCCACAGAGCUCACGGCAGGCCCUGCCAUCAAGUUAGGGGACCCUGGAAGCCCCUGGAAGCCCUAGGCCGUAACUGCCUGACUGAGCUCCCUGUGGCUCUGCAAGGAACUGGGGCCAUCUCAGAGCUGCGUCCCAGUCUGUGGCCCCAGAAUCCCAACUAAAUGAAGUGCAGUCUCCCUGAGCAUCUCCACCAAGCCACGCAGGUGCUGCCAGAUUCAAAGGCAAUACACAGGCAGGAGUGAGUUACCUGUAUUAAAUCACAAACUGUGUGGCGAAGAUUCUAAGUGGAAAAGAGUGUUUUUACAAAUGGAUAGGCGGGUGAAGACACAGAACCUGCCAUGGGUGGGGGUGGGCAAGCUACAGGUGACAGGUGGGGAGGGAACAGCCUCUGCACACCAACAGAGACAGGAUGAACAUCACAUAUGCAGCAGACACGGCCAGAGGAUGACGCUGCACACGUGAGCAGGGUCAGGAGGUACACACGUACCACAAGCAUGAAGCACCUCCUACGUGCCUGACUGGGCGAGGUCCCAGCUGCCCUCAGAGGGUGUACGGUCCAGUGAGGCCAGCAGACACAUAAGCCAGGGAGAAGGAGCCCCAGGGCAUAGAGGAGUGGGACCCAGCCAGGCAGGCGGUCAGGGAAGGCUUCCUGGGGGAGGAGACAUCUGAGGUGAGUCUGGAAGGAAGAGGCAGCCAAGCUAGAGAGGAUGGAGGAGGGGGGGACUUGGUGUGGAAGAAAAACAGGAAGAACUACACAGGUUCUCAAGCCAAAGGGUGGCAACAGAGCAAGGAGGGCCUGGGAGCAGCAGGGUGUGGGGGGGAGGGGUGGGGCAGAGGCCACACCCAAUGGGACAGGGCGAGGGCCUGGCCUUAAGCUGGGCAGGGAUCCUGAUACUCUUGGACAAAGGAGGCUAUUUAUUUAUUUAUUUAUUUAUUUAUGAGACAGAGUCUCGCUCUGUCGCCAGGCUGGGGUGCAGGGGGGCUAUCUCAGCUCACUGCAACCUCCGCCUCCCAGGUUCAAGCGAUUCUCCUGCCUCAGCCUCCUAAGUAGCUGAGACUACAGGCACGUGCCACCACACCCAGCUAAUUUUUGUGUUUUUAGUAGAGAUGGGGUUUCACCAUGUUGGCCAGGAUGGUCUUGAUCUCUUGACCUCAUGAUCCGCCCACCUCAGCCUCCCAAAGAGCUGGGAUUACAGGCGUGAGCUACCAUGCCCAGCCUACGAGACUCUUUAAAAACUAAUAUUUCUUAAACUAAAAAAGUUAUUUAAAAAGGAAUAUACAUUUGUGGUGACAAAUUCAAAUAACAAGUAUUUUAAAAAUCUAGAUGACAACAAACCUUUAAACCUUGGAAUCCCCUGAUUUAGCAAUUUGGAAUCAAUAGGCAGGAGUCAUUUUCAAAUCAAGAAAGAUCAGAAUUUGGUAACAGACUGGAUGAGACUGAUAAAGGAGAGCGCCCACAAUGACUCUCAGGGUUCCCUGGAAGGGACGGGGGCGGGCAUACUGCGGUGCUACAGAAGGUGGCAGCAGCAGGUCCCAGGGCUCCAGUUACAGCAGCUCAGACCUGCACUCAUGCCAAGGACUCUCACAGACCCUUUCCCUGCAAUGAUUUCACUGAGUGCAGACUCCAGCAGGUGCGCCCACAGCGCAGCUCCUGCCCUCAGGACCUCUCAGGCAGUUGGGGGCAGAGGCACCUCUGUGCAGGGGCCUGUGUUCACUCUUCUGCAAAUGGCGAGUGGCAGGCUGGGAAUGAACCUCAGGGCUGUGCCUUCCUUAAGCCUGGACUGUUCCACUGUAUCAACAUACCUGCCUCACACAAACAAUUCUACCAGCACGGGAUCAGUAAUAUUUCAUACAUCAGAGGUGUGUGAGAAACUAAUUUUGCCUGGAAGAGGGGUCAGGGCAGGCUACAGAGAGGAAGGUGUGCACAGGUGAGGCCUUGAGGGGUUGGGAGGCAGGGAGGGGAGCUGCUUUCCAGGCAAAGGGAACGAGGAGAAGAUUUCCACAUAAAGAUCUGGGCCUUGGCACCUCACUCCUGGCAGCCUGUCUGUAAUUCACUCUGGUCACCCCUCUGUGGAGCAGUGUGCCUGCCUCAGUCAUCUCUGUUGAUGAUUUAAGCCUAGCAGCCUUCAGCCAAAUGUGGCAACUGUGUAAGCCAAUACCCAGCUAGCUCCUGGACCACUCGGAUGCCCAUCAACAUGUACGAGGCUGGGGUUACUUCUCCUGGGAUCCCAGAAAUCCUCAGAUUUGCACGCAAUGCAAAUGGGCAUUCGGGGGGGCCUGUGGGUGGUCCCGAUUCUGUUCUUGGGAGCGGGAGUGAAAAGCAAGCCUGUCGUGGGGAAACUGGCACCUUCACUGGUGGCCACGCUGCUGGGGCUGGGCGUGAAGCUGCCUCCGGCCCUUGGAGAGGAGUGUGAGGGAAGGGAGGCGGCAGUGCUUUUUAUACACAGGAGCUGGAGGAGGGUGAUGGCAGCUUGGAGGAAGUCAUCACUGCCAUGGUAGGGGGGAAAUCUGGAAAUAUUGGGCAUGUGGCCCUCCCCUUCCCACCGUAACCCCAAGCUCCUCAGCCCACUUCUUUCCACCAGGCACCUUUGGGCUUCCCUCUAGGUGGAACAGCCAAGUCCUGAGUCUCUUUGCUCAGAAGCUCAAGUGAUUCAAUUUCUUUUCUCCAAACUUUCCCAAGACUGCAAUACCUCUUGGAAAGGACGUGACCAAAUGUGGCUGAGACACACUGGGCAGAGCCGCACUACUCAUUUAUGCAAAACCAUUACUCUGGCCGCCGCAUCAGUCUCCCUUCCCCUUUUCAGCAAUCAUGUAUCCCAUUAGCCUGUUUGAUUGCCGCUGCUCACAAAGGGGCGCCUUCGCUGAACCGUCUUCAAUGGCCUCUGGAUCUCUCCCCUGAGAGAAGCCGGCUAAUUUGGAAUGUGGUCGUGUGUAUGAAUCCGACACAGCCUCAGUCACAAUCGGGUGUCCUUUUCUGUAGCUGCUGUUUAUGAUCACUUUGCCUUGCCUCUCUGGGAGCCAUAAUUCACCACAUACUGGAGAUAGGCUGGGUGUUCUUUUCCCCGUGAAUCCUGGACAGGAUGUACACAAAUGUGCUAGCCCCUUCUUGGUGACCAGGCUAAUUCCUCAGUGGCUUGGUGGCUGCUGCCUCUCAUUAGAGGGAUUCCCUAAGCACUAUUUGCUUGACAAAUUUUCAAGGUUUUUAAAAGCAGAAGCCUUUGCUAAUUUUCCCAAGUUGGCCUAAGAGUCCACUGUGAACUGCAGCAGAAAUUGGGGAAAUUUAAUAAAUGUUGAUCAAUGACUCUGCCUUGCUUUCCUGGUUCCUCCUGAAUAAUUUCCACAGACUGCUUUCAUGCCAACCAAUACAAAUAGGAUUUCUGAUCCAAGUUUUCAACUUACAAAUACAAGUUGACAAAUCUUUAUAAAAUAGAUAUCUACCUCUUGAUGUCUGUCCAUAAGUCAGAUGCAAAGCCAUGACUUCUAACUUACACUCCCCUAAAGAUCCCCUAUUUCCCUUUCACAGUGGCUGAUGUGGUGGCAUCACACACCCACCCAGCGUUCAGUGACAUAACAGAUCCUGACGAUGGUCACCAUUAACAUCUCUCUUAUGCUCGCCUCAGAGCAGAAGGUAACAGUCCAUCUACAGACUGCAGAGAUGUUUUGUUUUUGUUCUUUAAAAAUGAAGACGAGUGCCUCCAACAAAAUAUCCCUUUUGAUAAACCUUGGUUUUUUAUGUGCAUCUGAACAGCCCAACACAUUGUUUUCAGUUAGGGGCCGGGCAUGGUGGCUCACACCUUAUAAUCACAGCACUUUGGGAGGCUGAGAGAGGCGGAUCACUUGAGGUCAAGAGUUCGAGACCAGCCCGGCCGACGUGUCAAAACCUGGUCUCUACUAAAAAUACAAAAAUUAGCCAGGUGUGGUGGCAGAUGCCUGUAAUCCCAGCUGCUCGGGAGGCUAAGACAGGAGAAUUGCUUGAACGUGGGAGGCGGAAGUUGCAGUGAGCCGAGAUCGCGCCACUGCACUCCAGCCGGGAGACAGAGCGAGACUCUGUCUCAAAGACAAACAAACAAACAAACACAACAAAAAACAAAACUAGGAAUUACUUCAUAGGGAGACAUUUCCAAAUUGCGAGCAACAAAUUUUCAGUAUUGCUUAGGGUGAUAGGAUACCCAAAUAUUUUUGCACUAAGUAUGGAGGUAAGUUUCUGGGUGACAAUGCUUAUGUACGGCAACAGCUUUUAAAAAAACUUUACAAUAUCAUUUUCUCAUAUUCACAUAGGCCAGGAUAUCCACAGAUAAUUGGAACUCUGAUGCUUGGAAGGUUCUGGAAGAAGAGGCUUUCCAAUCCCUAUCACCCCAGGCAGCCCUGGAAUUCCUGCCCUGUUUUUUAUGUGUGUACACUCCAGAGUUCCAGGGAGAGAGUUACUUUCUUGUCUUAAUGGAUUCGGCUAUAGAGUGGUAGAGGUAUCUUUUAGUUAUUUUUUUGAAAAACUAAGAAACAAAAAAAGGGAAGUGUUCUUGUUCGCAGGCUUCUGGGAUGCCUGAAUCUCCCCACCUGAUAGAUGUGGCCUCACCAGGGCCCCCUUCCCACACCAGACAGGCACCAAGAGAGCCUAGCCAUGGCCCUGCUCUCCCCACAGGGCUGGCCCAUGUGUCUCCAGCUGCCUGGGCGGUUCUUCACUUUGUGUGACCAGGCUCCGCAUGUACCUUCUGUCUCAAAGGGCUCCAGCUGCGUCGAGGCUUCCAGCAUCACCCCUCACUGCUGGCACAGCAAUGGGACACAUCUGAGGGGACCCUCACAAGCUGCUGUCUCCAUGCGUCUCACUGCUGGGAGGCUCCUGGGUACUCAUCUGCCCAGGUCUGGGGUCACUUUCUCCCAGGCCAGUUGAGGAUGGAGAAUUAUUGUUGCUCCAAUAUGACAGGUCUAAGGAUUGUGCAGUGUCUGAAACAACCAUAUGUGCUCAAUGUUGUCCUGCUUUUCCUCUCUUUUUUUCCAAUAAAAUCUUUCAUAACAAACAUUUAAAUAUAAAGAAGCCCACAAAAGGUCUUCUUUUUUUUUUUUUUCUGAGACAGAGUCUUGCUCUGUCGCCCAGGCUGGAGUGCAGUGGCACGAUCUCGGCUCACUGCAAGCUCCGCCUCCCGGGUUCAUGCCAUUCUCCUGCCUCAGCCUCCUGAGUAGCUGGGACUACAGGCGCCCGCCACCACACCUGGCUAAUUUUUUAAUUCUUUUAGUAGAGAUGGGGUUUCACCGUGUUAGCCAGGAUGGUCUCGAUCUGACCUCGUGAUCUGCCCGCCUCGGCCUCCCAAAGUGCUGGGAUUACAGGUGUGAGCCACCGCGCCCGGCCUAAAAGGUCUUCUUUUAUAAUUAUGAAACAAACUAAAUAUUUUUCUGCCUUUUUUCCUGUCUCACUGGGAAGGAAGCUUUAAGAUCUAGUUCACUCUCCUUAUUUCAAAGGCAAGUGUCCUGAGAGGCAGGGAGGUAAAAUGACACUGGGGCCACACAGCUGGCUGGAGGUGAAGCUGGCACCAGUGCCGAGGCCCCCUCCCUUCCUUCCACUCACUGCUCGCUCCCCUCAGUGCAUCCUCUGCCUCCCUGCCUGCCCAGUGCUGGUUCAUGGAACCAGCUUCUAGAGCCUCCACACCCCUUUCUUCUUAGCCUGGCUCUUCUGAGGCACCUGGCUUUGAUCAUUAUCUGCAGGUAUAAUCCUUAAAUCCAAGUUUUUGUUUGGAUGGCUCAGCUUUCACUGCCUCUCCCCCAGCCUAUAUUUUUGUGCAACCGAAUGCUUCCAGACUCUCUCAUAACCAUCAGAGCUCUGCCAUUCUCCAAGGGCAUGGCAGUCACAGCCUUGAUGCCAUCUUCAGUUAUUCCUUCAUCUGGCUUCAGGCUGUCACAAGUGAUUCCUGAGAGCUCAUUCCCUUUGGAAUCCCACACCAACGCUCUGGCCCAUGGUCUGAUUUAUGGAGGGGUUACUGUGUGCCAGGCACUGGGCUGGGUGCUGAGGACACAAAGAUGCUACAACACAGUCUCUGCUCUCAAGAACUGCAGUGUGGUGGGGAGCCAGUCAGAACCUCCUGCUUUUGAAGUUUCCAUGAAUGUAAUCCUAGUAUACGUAUUCUUUGGUGUCUGGCUUCUGUCCUUCAACACGCCGUUAUGUUCAUCCACCCACAGUCCCUGCAGCCUGUUGUAUGAGAUGCUGUGUUUGCUUACCCAUCCUCUGUGGAUGGACGCUCGUGGUAUCCCGUUGGGUUCAGGAUGAACAAGGCUGCGGUGACAGCAUCCUCACUCUUGCCUCCUAAACUGGUACAAUGCAGAUUCACAGGUACCAGGCUGCCCGCUGGGCUUGACUAUCCCGGCUGUCCCUGCACUGCCUCCUCUCUGGCCCAGUACCUCGCAUGCACCAUACAGGGCCUCCGUGCUGCCAUCUGAAACCUAAGUUUGUUUCCAUUAUUUCUAUUCCCAAGCAGGUUUUCUUUGUGGGCAUCCAUUUCCAGUUGCUGGAACAUGAAGCCCCUGGAGGGCCAGGUUCCCUCCCACACAGAAGUGGAGUCUGAAGGCUGGAACUGGUGCUCUCUGCAGACCAGGAGCUUUUGCAAGGAGAGGGCUGCCUCUCCAUUUGCUCUCUCUGUGCUCUGCCACAGAGCACAGAGAGCGCCCACUGGGGGUUCUGGCCCUGGGGCCAGCAUGUGACUGCUUUGAGGUGCUUCUGGGCUGAGACGAUGGUCCUCUGGAGGAUGCUGCCGGGGAAAUCCUCGGGGGGCCAGAGAGAGUGGAAUCAGACCUGGGGCAGGGGGACCUCGGAAAUAAUUAUCACCAUGCCAGGAAGGAGCACUUGUUUCAUUUUUUUCUUUAAGAGUCUGUUUCCCUGUUUUGUUUUUUUCCAUUAGAGCCACAUGUUGCUAUGGGAACGAGGGUGGCAUGGGAGCCCAGAGCCACUCACUGGUCUGACCGAAGCCAGUAAAUAAAUUCUGCCUCACUCCAGGCCCUGAGCCGAGUGGUCCUGGAGGGCAGCUCAAGUAGCCACUUGCAGACUUUCUGUCCUGCUGCUGUCGGCCCAUGCAGAUGCUCCUCUGACACGCUCGUGGGCUGAUCACUCUCCUUGGAAUAAGGAGCGGUGAGCCUGCAGAGUGCUCUGCACCCUCCCACCCUCCCAGGUCCUCUAAGACAUAAACUCAUUCAUGGCUCCCAAACUCCAAGGGCCAGGAUCACUCGAUCCGUUUUACAGAUCAGGACUCACCCUCCUCCUUCAGGGCUGGCUGCUGUUUUCAUUCACUGAUGUCUCUACCAUCAAUCAGGUACAGCCAUUUGAAAUCUCACCCAGAGUUAAGGGGCUUUUUAAUGGGGAUUCAUUUCUACCAGGUGGUGAAGCUGCCAUCCCCUUAAGGAAGGGUCCUGCCUCAGUUUCUCCCCAAGAUCUAGCACAAACUGGUGUACACAGCAUGCUCAGAGCCACCUGCUUAUCAAUGCCUGACUCAUAGAGUUCUGGGCCAGGGUGCAGCUGGGCUCAUUUUGCACAUUGCCGUCUAUUAUGCCUUUGUGGGAGACGCAGUGGCCUCGAUGUUACAGCCAGACUGCCUGGAUUCACAUUCUGAUUCUGCCACUCAAGACUGGGUUGAUCUCGUACAAAUUAGUUAACGUCUCUCAGCCUCGGUUGCCUCUAAACUUUUUACUGCCAAAACUGUAUGCUAUAAGGCACAGUUUUCCCAUAGAAAUACCAUGUGGGACAAGAAACAGUGGUGCCUCCCCCUCACUGAGGAAACCCCAAUUCUGGCUCAGAUAAGAUUUGUCCCCUUGCUUUCUUUUUCUUAGCAGUUUUACCACUUGUGUAUGCAUGAAUGUUGUAGUAAAGCUUUGCCUGCUUUUGAAGUUUCCAUGAAUGUAAUCCUAGUAUACGUAUUCUUUGGUGUCUCGCUUCUGUCCUUCAACACGCUGUUAUGUUCAUCCACCUACAGUCCCUGCAGCCCGUUGUAUGAGAUGCUGUGCUUUGCUUACCCAUCCUCUGUGGAUGGACGCUCAUGGUGUCCCGUUGGGUACAGGAUGAACAAGGCUGCGGUGACAGCAUCCUCACUCCUGCCUCCUAAACUGGUACAAGAGCUUCGUUGGAGAAUACAGAUAGGAGUGGAAGUGAAUGCUCAGCCAUAGGGUGAAUGUGUGCAUAUGCUCCUUUAGGACAAAACACCAAACUCUUCUCCAGAGUGACAGGGUCAGUCCAUCUGCCCACAGCACUGGAGGAGAACUGCCCACUGCUCCACAAUUUUGCCAACACUUAGUAUUGAGUUUCCUCAUCUUUAAAAUGAGGAUGAGAGUGGAACCUACUUCAUAUAUGAGGAUUAAAUCAUGUAAUAAAUAUAAAGGGCUGGAAGAUAACCUGGCACACAGUAAGUGCUCAGCAAAUACUAGCUACUAUUAUUGUAAUUAAUAAUAAUGAUGAUUAUUAUAAGGGUCCUAAGCUAGGAGAUGCUGAGAUAUCUGGUGCACAUACUUUUCCAUUUACAAAUGUUUCUGGUUUAAGAAAAUCCUCCAUAUGACUAUAGAAACUCUGUAUUGGAAUGCCACGGCCUCUUGAUAAUGAAAAGUUGGUUUACUACAUCUUUUCCUUUAUUGCUUUCUUUGACUGACUGACUGGGAGAGGGAGAGAUGGGUGUACAGAUGAGAUCACUCACCCAUUCAUUCAGUUAACAGGUCCUCUAUGCUUACACAUGCCAGGCACCACGCUAGGUGCCAGGGAUACAAAGAUGAAUAUGACACAGCCUCUCUCCUCACUAUAUAAAUUCAGUAAGUAAAAUGGAACCUGAGAGCUGCCUAAAGCCUGUCAAUACCAUCCUCAGUUUCUGCUAUUGACUUGGUAAAAGCUUUCAUGUAGGUUCUUGUGAGCAGAAACCCUGUCUUUCUGAAUACAUUGCAGAGAAUUUCCUUUUCCUACAGUCCUUUUUAACCCUCAAGACUGCUUGUGGGCCCCUGAGCUCCCAGCGUACUGAAAAAAAUCACUCCAGAACUUUCAAACCCACGUUUUUAUAAAAGCCAUAAAAAGAAACAGGCGUAGCUUCUGUUUCUUGAACAUCACUGCCUGAUUUUCAUGGGUGCACAGACUUGAUCUUAUUUACUCCCAGCCGGGUUUAUUUAAGGAUGUAGGCAUGUGCCUUUGCUAUUUGCUCAGAUAAUUAGUAACAUGAAAUGGAAGGGUUUCUGGGAGACCCCGCACAUCAGAACCAGUGUGGCUCUGAGCACAGUCUUGGGGGCUGAAACUAAAGACUCCCUCGACGUUUGUUAACGUUGUUGACAAGGCCCAGUUUAUUUUAGACGUGAGAAACUUAGAAGAGGAGCAGUGUCUGUCUCCCCAGUGGCUCAGAGUUGAUUAGCAUUGAAGGCAGGUGAACGACCACACAGGAAUGACCAUGAACUUGCUAAGCUGGCAGCCGAGACCACCUUAAAGUGACUGAGGAAAUGGUCAAGAAGGACCUCCUUGGCCACAGGCAGUGGGGACAAUCAGAUGCAUGGAAACAAUGGAAGCGGAGGGUGGAUGUGCUGAAAGACACACCGACAUCUGUCUGCCAUCUAGUGCUGAGCAUGGGAGGAAGACAAAGGAGUCGGGGGAAGCGUUUGAGGGUAAAGAAAAAGCCACACGUGAGCACUGGGCCAAGCACAGGGGAGCUUCCAGAGCCAGGCGAGCAGGGAGCAGAGGACGACAGAAGCACACAGUGGGGGGGAGUGAAAGUGGAGUGUGCUGAGGAGUUCAGAUAAAUGAUAAGGAUGAUGCUGAGUACACAAGGAACAGGGGUCACAGAAGGAAGUGGUGGAGUCUUUAACAGGUAAGCAUUGGGGGAAUUUACUGACAGAAGUCAUAAACAUAGCUAAAAAAUUAAAUGAAUUCGUUGCUGCGGUGCUCACAAAGGAAGAUGAGAGACAGAUGCCAGCAGCAGACGUACACUUCCCAGAGGAGAGGGAUGGAAUGCCGCAGGAAAUCAGAAGCGUGCCAGAGCAGGUGAUCAAGAAAUCUACACUCUCAGACUGCCGAGGCCACUGUCACCUGAGAGCUGGACGGAUCGGAGGGAAGCGGGGAAAAUUAGCAUGCAGCAGACGGAGACUGAGCCUUUGGAUGCAGGAAGACCUGGCCGACUGGAGCAAGACAGAUGCACACCUACAGCAGGCAAGAAAUCCCAGUCCGCCUUAGCUCAGUCAGGCCAGCCUGGGGGGCCUGCUUCCACGCACUGCCUGCUGUCCGCCUUCUCCUAUUCCAGCAGCUGCCGGGGGUGUUUGGAGUUCGGGGCAGUUUCCAUGGUCCCUGUUGCAGAGCUAUCAACCCACUGAGCUCCUGCCUCCAAGAAUGACUUCAGGUCUCUCUAAACAGCCAGCUGCUCUGCUAGCUGCUACUUACACACUGUCCAGGCCACUUCCCAACUUUUGCCAAACUGCCCAGCCACCAUCUUCUCUUGAAUGCUCUUCCAUAGGAGCCUCCAUGCUGCGCUUCCCCACCAGUCCCUGCUCUGCCCGCCUCUCUCUUGAUGGGGAAGCACCUGCAGAAGACAGGCCUACCUGGGCCAUUCGGCAAAGCGUGUGUUCACGCAGAUUUCCCUUUAUUGUACACACACAGACAGACCUUUCCAUGCCAUAGACCAAAUCCAUCGAUAGUUUUUGAAGCUAGCACAAAGUCUCUGGGUUCACAAACACUGAGUAGCUAAAGGGAAACAGAGUGUUUCUCUGGCUCUGACUAAAACGAAGGCCACUGUUAUGGACUGAUGCUUGUGUCCCUCCCAAAUUCCUCUUUGGAAGCCCUAAUCCCUAAUGGAAUGGGAUUAGAAGUGGGGUCUUUGGGAAAUGAUCAGGUUCAGCGGAGGUCAUGAAGGUGAAACCCCCGUGAUGGGAUUGGUGUCCUUAUAGGAAAUGAGACUGAGCGCUCAUGCCUGCGCCCUCUGUCACUGUCUCUCGCGAAGUGCACACACCAAAGAAGGCCGUCUGAGGACAGAACCCAGAAGACGGCCCUCACCAAGAACCAGAGCCUGCUGGCACCCUGACCUCAGACUCCCAGCCUCUGGGACUGUGAGAAAUCAAUGUGUUACUUUAGCCAACAGAAUAGCCAGCUGAGACAGCUGCUGAUGUUACUUAGCAAACAAGCAGGGACAGACAGAGGAAACCCUGCAUCCUCUGCCCUCCAGGCCACGCUCCAUAGUGAGAGAGGUACCCUGACCCCUGUUUUUGAUGGCACAGUUCUGGCUCCCAUGGGACUGUGAAUCAGGGUGGUGCUGCACUCUCAUCUCCAGCCUCCUGUCCUAUGCUGCGGCCCUCCCCAGCUCCACGAAGUGCUCUUGUCCAUGCGGUCAUAUCCUCUAGAGCUGUCUCUCCCAGGAAUCCUGCCUGACCCAAGUCAUCCUCCUUCCCUGAUGUGACCCCGUCCCUCACGCCUCUGAACUCUGCCAUACUGGCUUACACAUAUUUCCAUUGUUCUCUAAGAUAGGUGUUACAACAUUUUUCAAAUAAUGUCCCAGAACCCAGUAUGCUGCAGUAAAGAACAUUCUCUGAGGGUUUGCUGUAUUCUUGAUGCCCAAUAAAGUUCAGCUUUAUUGUA